ACAAUGGAGAGUUUGAUCCUGGCUCAGGAUGAACGCUAGCUACAGGCUUAACACAUGCAAGUCGAGGGGAAACGACAUUGAAGCUUGCUUCGAUGGGCGUCGACCGGCGCACGGGUGAGUAACGCGUAUCCAACCUGCCUCUGACUAAGGGAUAACCCGGCGAAAGUCGGACUAAUACCUUAUGAGGUUUUCAGCAGACAUCUAAUGAAAACGAAAGAUUUAUCGGUCAGUGAUGGGGAUGCGUCUGAUUAGCUUGUUGGCGGGGUAACGGCCCACCAAGGCAACGAUCAGUAGGGGUUCUGAGAGGAAGGUCCCCCACAUUGGAACUGAGACACGGUCCAAACUCCUACGGGAGGCAGCAGUGAGGAAUAUUGGUCAAUGGGCGAGAGCCUGAACCAGCCAAGUAGCGUGCAGGAUGACGGCCCUAUGGGUUGUAAACUGCUUUUAUGUGGGGAUAAAGUGAGCUACGUGUAGUUUAUUGCAGGUACCACAUGAAUAAGGACCGGCUAAUUCCGUGCCAGCAGCCGCGGUAAUACGGAAGGUCCAGGCGUUAUCCGGAUUUAUUGGGUUUAAAGGGAGCGUAGGCCGUGGAUUAAGCGUGUUGUGAAAUGUAGACGCUCAACGUCUGAAUUGCAGCGCGAACUGGUUCACUUGAGUAUGCACAACGUAGGCGGAAUUCGUCGUGUAGCGGUGAAAUGCUUAGAUAUGACGAAGAACUCCGAUUGCGAAGGCAGCUUACGGG
rnacentral:rRNA from 1 species